UACGUAGGGGCCUAGCGUUGUCCGGAUUUAUUGGGCGUAAAGAGCUUGUAGGCGGUUUGUCGCGUCUGCUGUGAAAAUCCGGGGCUCAACCCCGGACUUGCAGUGGGUACGGGCAGACUAGAGUGUGGUAGGGGAGACUGGAAUUCCUGGUGUAGCGGUGGAAUGCGCAGAUAUCAGGAGGAACACCGAUGGCGAAGGCAGGUCUCUGGGCCGAUACUGACGCUGAGGAGCGAAAGCGUGGGGAGCGAACAGG
rnacentral:rRNA from 1 species